UACGAUGAGAGCUGCCUUGGUAAACAUGAUGAGAUAAAUUUGGCAACUGAGGUUCUCUAAAAGUGAGUGCAGCAAUUGGUGUAGGGAUACAACAUUAUAGCUCUCGAUUUUCCAAAGUAUCUCACUAUUAAAAGACACUGCUUUGGAAGGAAAGCCUCACACUGGGGUUACCCACAUCUUGCUGCUUCAAUGAAUUGUGUCCGCAGUAUUGAACUCCAGGUAUUUUAGCAGCCAGCUCCAGGACAAAUAAUGAAGCAGGCAUAUUGCUGCCUUACGUACUUUACAAACACCACAACAGUUUGAAAGAAAACGACAGUGCACUGAGUCAUAUGUGACCUCAGAAGCAAUCAACAUUGGGACAUCAUACCGAGGAAGAAUGGCUACUUAGGAUAAUAAGAAAGUAAUACCAUCUAUCGAUCACUACCCAGUACUUUUAGGAAAGGAUGAUCUGCAAAUUUGUUCUUGACAACAAUCCAGCUGCAUUAUAAUCAGAAUUUUGCAAUAAUUGGACAAGAUUACAACAUAAAUCUAUCCAAUAAUCAUACUCACCAUUAUAAUGGAGGAAAACAACAGCAGGUUUUGACACCACAUAGUUGCUGUUUGACAUGAAAGUCCAUAUUGUGCUGUUUAGAAUAUCAGUCCUCACCGAUGGAACUUCCACUGAAAUCACUGUUACGGUGUAACUUCAGAAUAUUUGCCCAUUAGGUCCCUAUUAUAGAUAUCAGAAAAUGUUAAGGUGCAUUGAUUAAAUAUUUUAGUGGUAUGACCAGUGAUAAUUAACAAUUAACUAACAAACAUUCUCUCUCACCCUGAAAAUUAUAUCAUGCAAGUGUGGAGUCUUGAUCCAUCAGAAAUUAAUUAUGUUGGAGAUUUGUAAACAAACUUUGAAUAAUUUUAUUUGCAUUUUCUGUAUUUCUCUUUUAUCUCUCUCCAUUAAUCCCAUUUGUUUUUUAUCCCCAAGUUUUAUUCCACAUUCCAUAUCUAUAUAAAUCCCGAUUUACACCUGCUGAUUUAUACUGCAUGGGAGAAAAACUUGUUUGCCUGGUGCUGUCUGCAAUAGCUCUCUGCAGGUUUAACUUGAUUCCUCGGGUAUAUGCAAAUCUAUGUGUUGCUACUUGUGUAACCCACACAGCAUUUUUGAAUGACCUUAGUGCCAUGUAUAGUGUGAUUGCACAGCUAGUAAUCUGAGAAAAUAAAGAUAAGUCUGCUUGCUACCACAGAAGGUGGUGCUAUGCGAACAAA